UACGGAGGGGGCUAGCGUUGUUCGGAAUUACUGGGCGUAAAGCGCACGUAGGCGGCUUUGUAAGUUAGAGGUGAAAGCCCGGGGCUCAACUCCGGAAUUGCCUUUAAGACUGCAUCGCUAGAAUUGUGGAGAGGUAAGUGGAAUUCCGAGUGUAGAGGUGAAAUUCGUAGAUAUUCGGAAGAACACCAGUGGCGAAGGCGACUUACUGGACACAUAUUGACGCUGAGGCGCGAAAGCGUGGGGAUCAAACAAG
rnacentral:rRNA from 1 species